GGGCUGAUAGCUCAGUCGGUUAGAGCAACGGCCUUUUAAGCCGUGUGUCCUGGGUUCGAGUCCCAGUCGGCCCA
rnacentral:tRNA from 1 species